CGCCUCCCCUCCUCCCGCUCGCCACGUGCCACCGCCUCCUCCCCUCCUCUGCGUGAGCCACCUCCGCUCCUCCCGCUCGCCGCCCCAACGCCUCCUCCCACUCGCCGAGUGCACGCCACCGCCGCCCGUUGGCGGCAGCGCGCCACCGCCCCCACCCUCGCAGUUGCCUGGCCUCGCGGUGCGGCCCAUUAAGGCGGAAUGGGACCGCGGGAGUGGGAGGAGGCCGAUUCGACGGCGAGCGCCUGGAGGGGUUGGAGGACGUGGCGGCGGCGAGCUCCAUCGAGCGCGCAGUGAACAGGAGCCGAGCACCAGGAUGAGGAGGAGGCUGUGGCGGUGUGCGGCGCCGAGCGGUAGGAAGGGGAGGAGACUGUGGCGGUGCGGUGAGCAGCGCGGCCGCGGCGAACAGGCUGUGGCAGCGGCAGCCGGUCAGUUCGGUACUUCGGUAACUGUGGGAGGAGAUCGAGGCCGGCCUCGCGACGUGGGAGAUCGAUCCGACUUGUCUGACUUGAUGUAGAAUGGGUACCCACAGAGGCUCAAAAAGCCACGGAAACAGUGUUCCCUAACUAGGCAAGUCAGGGAAUCCCGAGAUCGAGGCCGAAGAGGAGCAAGUCAGGGAAUCCCGAGAUCGAGGCCAAAGAGGAGCCGGAUGUGGAGGACGAGAACGAGAAGAUGAGGACGCCGAGCACGAUUCCGACUUCAGCGAUGCUGCCCCGAACUAACUUUUCCAUCCAGAUAUUUGAUCCGAACUGCUUACUCUCUGCAAAUUACAUAUGUUAAUUUCGACUGAUUUGGUCAAACUUUAAGCUGUUGUUUCCGUGCCCACAACACUGCUUAUUUCACCAGUACCUCUACACCUACGGCAAAUUUGACCAAACAGAGUUGUGAUGGAAUUUUCUGCUUCGCUUGAAGAUGACAGAAACCCAAAGAGGCCACCGAUGGAGUCAGACUCAGCAAAAUUGGAGGAGCAAGAAUGAAUUUCUGGUGUCGUCAACGAGCUUAGGUGGCAAAAGGCAAGAGAUAGAUACGCAAGCAUGACAGAUGAGCAGAAGGCCCAAAGGAAUGCUAAAAGAAGGGAAAACUACCAUCGUAAAAAGGCUGAAAGUCGAGCAGCCAAUAUGACACCAGAAACAACUGGUAAUUUUUCCAUUCUCAUCUCACCAUGAGUAACAACAGUAUGUAUACAAACAUGCUAAUGAUGAUUCCUUGUACGAUUCCAUCUGAUAUAACAAUCAUUGGGCAGAUAUUGGUGCACCUGUUGACUCAACAACUAACAAGCCUCUAGAACCACCUGGUACUCUUCAUCUGUUAAUGUUAUAAUGAAUAUGUGAAUAUUGCUUCAGCAAAUUAUUUUUAUUGAACUUAUUAGAUGGUUAUUUGCACAGUACCAUUCCAUCCUGUUGGGCAACAUGCCUCCAUAGAGAUACCUCCAAAAGAACUCAAGAGAGAAAGAGAAAGAAAGAGAUAUGCUAACAUGCCUGAGCUGGUGAAACAUGAAAAGGUAUUAAAGAUUCAGAAUAUAAGGAGCCACAAUAAUAUGUUGGCUUCUACCCCAACAAACAUUCAUUACUGGAAACUGAAAUUUCCCUGUGUACUUGAAACCGUCAGGGAUAUAUGGGAAAA